UAUGUUUUGUUCCGUACGUGACGUCCUU
rnacentral:piRNA from 1 species